AGAGUUUGAUCCUGGCUCAGAUUGAACGCUGGCGGCGUGCUUUACACAUGCAAGUCGAACGGCAGCACGGACUUCGGUCUGGUGGCGAGUGGCGAACGGGUGAGUAAUACAUCGGAACGUACCUUUUAGUUGGGGAUAACGCAUCGAAAGAUGUGCUAAUACCGAAUAAUCUCUGAGGAGGAAAGGCGGGGAUCGGAAACGACCUGUCGCUGAAAGAGCGGCCGAUGGCCGAUUAGCUAGUUGGCGGGGUAAAAGCCCACCAAGGCGAUGAUCGGUAGCUGCUCUGAGAGGAAGAUCAGCCACACUGGGACUGAGACACGGCCCAGACUCCUACGGGAGGCAGCAGUGGGGAAUUUUGGACAAUGGGGGCAACCCUGAUCCAGCAACGCCGCGUGAAUGAAGAAGGCCUUAGGGUUGUAAAGUUCUUUUGUCGCACAGCAAAAUGCUUGUACUAAUACUAUGAGUAGAUGAGAGUAUGCGAAGAAUAAGCACCGGCUAACUACGUGCCAGCAGCCGCGGUAAUACGUAGGGUGCAAGCGUUAAUCGGAAUUACUGGGCGUAAAGCGUGCGCAGGCGGAUAUAUAAGUUAGAAG
rnacentral:rRNA from 1 species